ensembl:lncRNA
CUCACCCCGACCCAGAGAACAAUCAGUUGAGGACGUCUCCGACUUUUUUUUCCUUCCCCCCCUCCCAGUACAUCCGCGAUGGCAGGAUGGCAGGAAAAAAGGGGGGGAAAGAGGGAGAAAAAAGAGAAAGAAACAGCUCCUACACAAUCCUCGGAAUCGACAGGCUAUAUGAUGCUCAUCUGCAACCGCGAGAUGGUGGAUGCAGAUGCCACAACAGACUUGUACUGGAUUCAUCAUGAGGAAACUACGGAUAUCAAACUGCAUGUGAAAAACAGAUCCGUCACAACUGUACCAUGUCUAGAAUUCUUCCUUUUGACCCAGGCUACCACAGGACCGAUCUGGGACCUGAACCUCAAGAUGUGCUGUAAGGCUGCUGGAAGUCAG